CGGUUUUACAAAAAAGAAGUACGGUCACAACGGUCCGAGGGCUUCUCUGCAAUGGCACGCGAAUACGCCUCGUACGAUGCAGUGAUAUUUGAUGGAGUAAACAAGCAAUCAUAAAACUGAGGAGAGAUUUUCGAAGCUAAACUCACUUCGCAUUGAAACUUCUAGUGGAAUAGAUAGAUAACUGGACUAAUAAGUCAAAAAAUCAGAAAAGUAAUAUUCUUUUGGUUUAUAUCCUUUCGUAAUUUCGUAAUAUACAAUUUGAGACUACCAAUCCGUUUACUUACUUAUUUCUUUUAUUUAUUAAGAGAAUGGCAAAAUUUCCAAACACGAGUGAGUUUCGUAUCAUAAGUAAUACCGAAGAGGAAUUUCAAGUAGACAUUUAUACGAUUAGAAAAAAUGAAUAUUAAUAGGGAAGAAAACGAGAGAAGUGAUAGUGAUGACAUCAAGCAAAAAAAACGGAGAGAUCUCAUAUAUACUGCGAGGGAUGAUAAUAUGGAAAGAGAAUUCAUUCAACAUUUAUCAUAGACAUCGUAAAAAAUUAUAAAGGACAAAAUUAUGAUUUUGAAUAGGCGCACAUAGAAUCUAACACUGUUAUAAUUUUCCUGCAGCUUAGUAAAGAUCUAUUAUACUUCUUUCUAGCCAUCGUAAUUCGGUCAAUAGAUUUCAAUUCGGUCAAUGUCAACAUUCUCUUCGCACAAAAUAAAUAAAUAUGAAUAAUUAAAUGUCAAAAAAAUUUUCCUACUCGGGAAGUAGAUAAACGCAAUUCGAUUUUUACAUAGUGAAUCACAUGUGGAAUCAAAUGGGGAAAAAAGAAUCAAAAAGAAAAAAAAGAAAUAAAAGCAAAAAGGAAAGUUCCCGUAAACGGUAGUAUCGAUCCAAAAUUAUUGCUAACAUUAUGAAGAGAUAAUCGGGGAUAUUAGCUUCGUGAAUAUAUAGAAAAGAGAAGGUUAAACGAAACAGCGCAUGCUCGAGUCGAUAUAAGAGAUGUUGCUAGCCAUCCGCGGAAGUUGAAUAAACCGUUUAUUCCGUUUCGAAUCGUGCUACCAGCAAGUUCCUGCGAGUGUCCAAAUAAUAUUCCAAACAGAAACGAAUCAGAAUAAUAUAUAAGCUCCUGACCAGUGAAAAUAGUGGAUAGUAUCUAGAAGAUUCUGCAGAACACACUAUCGAUAGUUGUAAAUGUUCUGAUUAUCAAUGGAAGCACAAUUAUAUUCCCUAUUACUUAUCGAAAGGAACAUUCGAUACAUCCAUUAUUUCAUAUAUGUAUCGAUUUAUAUUUAUAUAUAUGUUCACUUAUCCAUCUGUUUUUUCUAUAAUGCCUUACUUACGAUGUAUAUAUUAGAGGCAAACUACGAGCGCAUAUAUUUAUAUUUUUAUCUAUUAUUUCGUAAAUUAUCUGCGCUGUCUUAUUAAUUAAGAAGGAAGUAAAUAGAUGUAAGUUGAAAAAGAAAAUUGAAAGAUAAGAAAGUGAAAAUAGAUAUUUAAAUUCAAGAAAAAAAGAAGCGAACGAGUGUGUAUUAGGAAAGUGGAUCAGUUGAUAUCGAAUUCACAUUUUCAUAUAUUUGUUUAGGAUACAUCAUUUGUAAUCAAAUUAUUGAUAAACAUUUACUUCUUCGGAAUAUGAAGACAAAAUUGGCGAAAAAAAAGAAAAUAAUUAAAAGUUAAUCGAAAACUUGGAAUAAUUUAUUUUUAAUCGAGGCAACAUCGUGUCCAGACCAAACUUUAAGAAAGAAAAGAUAAUUAACAAUUAAACCGUAGUACCUGAACAUUGGCUGCAUAUUUGGAUUCGAUAAUGGGAUUCGCUAAUAAUAUUCAUUAUUUUCUUGGUAAGUUGCAUCUUAUUUAAAUUUUAUAGUAUCUAACGCGAAGAUUAAUUUUCAUAAGAUUUUGUUCUGUAUAUUGCAUGCUAUGGACAAUAGGUUAAUUUUAUAUCCUAUCUAUAAGUUAUAUUAGAGACGCUACGUUAUGCAUUAUUUUAUACAACUUCAUAUCCAAUACUACGAUAUAUUGUUUUAUAGUAGAUUAUAGAAAAUUGCGUAGUUUCUUAUUAUUUCUUCAUGCUAUAGUUAACUUAUUUUUAUUAUUAUUAGAUACUAUAUUUUACGUGUGAAUUAUCUUUUACUUGUUGCAUAAUUUUGAAUUAUUGUGUAAUAUUAAACCGAGGAGAAAGGCUAAUUAGGGGUUAUCGGAAUUAGGAUAUUUCUUUUUAGACAUUUAUACGAUCCAAUCGUAUAAUCGUAUAUAGAGCCAACUGUUGCGCAUCUGUUUGCUAUUCCGUGAUAUUAUUCCGUAUUUGCUAUUUCAAUGAUACUACCUGUUGAAGAGUCUAACAAACUAGGUGAAUUGCUUGUCUGAAACUAGUAAUUGCUUGUUUGCCGGUCAGCUAAUCAAUUAGAAUAGAGAUUCAUGAUUCCAUGAUAAGAAUACAAAGAGACGAACGUAGAGACGACGUGUCUUCCGGAGACACAUAUCCGCAACCGAACCGAUUUCCUUUACUUUUGCGAUGAGACCUAUUAGUUUUCGUUUUCAAUUAUUAUACUAUCAGUUUGCGUGAAUCUAAAGUUCAUUUCAGAAUGUUUUAAGGAGAUUCUGACAUUUUUUCUGAUAAAAAUAAAAUUUUGAAAAUGGACUCAAAUUUUUGCAUAAAUAAUUUGGACGCUGAUUAGGUAUAUUAAAAGAUUAAUUGAAUAUUUUUUAUAUUUUCGGAAGACUGAAGUAUGUUUAACAAAAAAAGAUAUUUAAGGCAUCAAAAUUUUUUCAGGAUCAAUAUUUAUUAAUGUCAAUAUGAAAAUCAUUCCAUUGUAAUAGUUCCAAUAGAACUAUUCGGAAGGAGUAAAUUAAAAAUAUUUGAAUGUUCAUAUAUGUGAUAUAUACUAUUGAUAUUAUCGUUAUUGACAUCAGUAUUCAUAUAAUGGAGCUUCUCGGAAAAAUUAGUAAGACAGAUCUAUCGAAAUAAUUAUAUCGAUCUUCGUUUAUAUCAGUAUAUGUGUACGUACUUAUUUCUAAUUUUUGUUCGUAGAUGAUUGUGAUAAUUGUUCCUUUUCACGUAGUAAUUGUUUCACACGAUCGAAUCGACGGAGGAAAUAUAGAAAUUUGCAUAAAGAGAAAUAGAAGGAAAAAGGUUUUUGAUGCGGUGUUACCACAGAUUGUUGAAAGUUGAUAUUCUAUAUGCAAGUCGAAAAGAGUCAAUUGCAGAACAGAAGGAAAUUAUUAGAGAAAAAUAAUAAUGGCUGCUAUAUACAUCCAUUCCUGGCAAACUACUGUAAGUAAUUUUUCAUUUUCUUCAUUAACGAGUAAUAAUUAUAAUAAUAAAAUUUGUGAAAAUUCUGCUUUAGUUUUCUAAUUGGAUCAUUUUGUAGUCUCACUGAUAUGGAGACAAUGAUCACAGCGAUUGGCUUCCCAUAUCAUGUUGCAUAAAACCAGAGAACUUUAACACUUUUGAUCCUAAUGGUGCAUACGUUGGUGUUUUAUUAAGGAAACUUAGUAAAAUAUUUGCAAUAAUAUAAAAACACGUUUGGAUGUUAACAUUUAACAGUCUCCUAUUUUAAUUAAUUAGGGUUAUUACAAAAGUGUAUUUCAUUCGAUCAAUAGCGAUAGGAUACUACGUCUUAAGAGUUAUCAUGAAUUGUACCUUCCAAAAUCUUUAAUAAUAAUAAUUUGCUUAAUUACGUUUAUUCAUAGAGGGAGGCACAGCCAUUUUCGCUAAUUCAUUACAUUUUUUUACAAUUACCUUAAAGAAAAACUUAUUCAAUUUUUUCUUAUGUACACGUAGGUGAAUGUAAUUUUCUUCAUUCUUUGCAGGCGGCAGCGAAAGAACUUCGAUGUUUAUUCGUCGGAGUACAAAAAACUGAUCUGGUAACUCGCAAUCUAAAAGUCCAAGUCAUUCAUUUGUUGAUUUUACACGCUACCAACAACUGCCAUUUUUAAAUUUAAGUCUAAUAGAAAAUAAAUUAAAAUUGUUUGAUAUACCGUCUGUGUUCCAUAGCAUGUAAUGUUUAGCGAAAUCUACUAUUGCUUAAACAGUGAAUAGUUUAACUCGUCGUACAUUUAUAUCGUUUAAAUGAGUUUAAAAUUAUCAAAAGUAUUAAGUUUGAAGUUUUCACCUUUAAAAAGUGAGAGCGAAGCGUCAGUCAUUCCAAUGUUCGUUUUUAUUGGCAUCACACGCAGCUACGAAACUCAGAUGCAAGUAUUCCAAUAUGAAAAUCAUAAAUUAUUUACAUUUUAGCUUAAAAUUAUUUUAUGUUAUUCGCGCGUUACGAUAUUCGUAAUGUUUAAGCGAAUAUACUAUCGUUUAAAUAUUACGGUUAUGAAAAUAAUUCAAAGGGUUAAAAAGUGCAAAGGGUUAAAAAGAAAAAUAAUUGUUACAAAGUAGCCUGAAAAAAAAAGCAAACAAAUAUGUAUUCAGAAAGUAUUACAAUUUCAUAUUCUCUAUGUUUGCGGUAUAUGUAAACUGGAUUUUUGAUUUAUAUUUACUUUUCUCUUAAUUUUUCA